GAACCUGUCAGCAGAAUACAAUUUGCCAUUGUAGGACAUCUGAUUCCUCUUUAUGGACCCCACACUACAGGAGGAGGAGGAGCAUAUGCAAGUGCAGGAGGAGAACCUGUCAGCAGAAUACAACCUGCCAGUGUAGGACAACCGAUUCCUCAAUAUAUAUCCCAGACUACAGGAGGAGGAGGAGCAUAUGCAAGUGCAGGAGGAGAACCUGUCAGCAGAAUACAACCUGCCAUUGUAGGACAACCGAAUCCUCAAUAUAUACCCC